rnacentral:tRNA from 1 species
GGGGCUGUAGCGCAGCUGGUAGCGCACCUCCAUGGCAUGGAGGGGGUCAGGGGUUCGAGUCCCCUCAGCUCCACCG